rnacentral:SRP_RNA from 1 species
CUUUGGGCCCUGUGCAACAGCGUACUGUGAACCCCGCCAGGUCCGGAAGGAAGCAACGGUAAGCAGCUAUUAUGUGUGCCGCAGGAUCACCUGAAGGCC